GUGAGUACUGGAGUGGGCGACCCUCUGGGAAACUCGUUUCGCCGCCUCCA
rnacentral:rRNA from 1 species